rnacentral:rRNA from 1 species
UCAAGAGUACGUGAAACCGUUCAGGGGUAAACCUGAGAAACCCGAAAGAUCGAAAGGGGAGAUUCAUCGUCAGCGACGUCGGCUUUUCGGUGGUUCCCGAUGCGCUGCGCCCAUCUCGGGCGUUUGUCGCACGGGUCCUCCGUGCAACCUCAUGUCCGGCGGCGUCGGCGUGCACUUCUCCCCUAGUAGGACGUCGCGACCCGUUGGGUGUCGGUCUACGGCUCGAGUCGUCGCCUGUCCCGUCGCUUCGGCGUCUCGGGGCAGACACUCGGUCGCCCGGCCGGCUGCCCGGCGGUACGCGCACGGUAUCUGGCCGCAAUUUCUUCUCGAACGCACUGCGUCUCAGGCCCGCCGCAAGCGCGGUCAGUGUAAACCCGGAGGUACGGACCUGGUGCCGUCCCCGGGCCUGGCCCGCUGUUCGCCGGCGGUGUUCUCUGACAGGCCACGAGCGAUGAUACCGGUCGGCGACGCUAUUGCUUUGGGUACUUUCAGGACCCGUCUUGAAA